rnacentral:rRNA from 1 species
UACAGAGGGGGCGAGCGUUGUUCGGAAUUACUGGGCGUAAAGGGCGCGUAGGCGGCCUUCUAAGUCGAACGUGAAAUCCCCGGGCUCAACCCGGGAACUGCGUCCGAUACUGGGAGGCUUGAAUCCGGGAGAGGGAUGUGGAAUUCCAGGUGUAGCGGUGAAAUGCGUAGAUAUCUGGAGGAACACCGGUGGCGAAGGCGGCAUCCUGGACCGGUAUUGACGCUGAGGCGCGAAAGCCAGGGGAGCAAAGCGGG